ensembl:lncRNA ZNF407-AS1 ZNF407 antisense RNA 1
AGGACUUCCGGUGGCUUCCAAGGCGACUCCGUAGUGGAUGCAGCGCCGGACGCCACAGCCGAAAAACAGAAUCUUGGAACUGGUUUAGUACAAUCCAGGUCGAGUUCCUUGUUUUUUAUCCGAGUGGCCGGCAGGCCCAUGUGCUGUCUUGUUUUUAACACAUCAGCUCUUGCCGGAAGCCGCUAAGAGAUAAAAUAGGAAGUCCCACCCUUCCCUUAGAGAAGGAAAACGGAGAGCCGAAGGAGUCAAUCUAAAUUCGAUGAGCGCGUCGGGCUCCAAGGCAGGCGCUGUCAGCCCGGGAGGGCUGUCUGGGAUUUCUAGAGGGUCCCAGAACGGGUUCUUCCCAGGCCGAUCCCGCCUGCUUCCUGCCCCGUCUCUCCACCCGCCUCCCGCCCUCUGUAAGGGACCCCGAGGGCGGCGCCGGAAACACGGAGAAGGCCCAGAACGGCGCGGGACCCGAGAGGCCUACGUUGGCAAACGCAGCCCGCUGCCCCUUUGCUCGCUUCCCCCGGGCCUGGAGUGGCUCCUGUCGCUUCUGGCGCUCCGAUUUCGAGAAAUGACUUUCAGCUGUGCAAGGCGAGAAUGCUACUUUAGAUGAUGAGAAAAAAUCUCUCGAAUGGCUCCCAAAAUGAGGUCCUUGUUUAAGAGGCCACAGGAAGCCGCUAGCCGAACUCUGAUACCAAAGAGGAGGCCAAGAAGCGGACUGUGGCUUGGUGACCUGUUUGGUAUUGCCAAAUUUUCAGCUUUUAUUAAAGCUGAAACACCUUGGCUGUUUAAAACGUUCGACAAGGACUUUUUUAUGAACGUUAACGGCACAGCAUACGGGUUUUUUGGAAAAAAAAAAAGGCAGGACUUCAGCCCGUCCGCCCCCUUGUGCAGGUCCAUUCAUGAACCUCGAGUUAGAGGCCUUUCUUCUGAAACUCAGAAUCUAGUAGGGAAGACCUGUGUAGACGAAUAAAAAUAAAUACAUCACAGCUUGUUAAGUGCUGUGACAAAGAGGCAGUGAAAUCCUGCUUGAGGUCAUCUGCCUUGCUAAAGAGGUUUGACUAUGUUGUAGGCACAGGGUUAGGGUUAGACUCUGUAAUGGGAAGUUAUGUGAUCAGAUUUCUGUUUAGGAAGAUCACUGGCCAGGCGGGGUGGCUUACGCCUGUAAUCCCAAUACUUUGGGAGGCCGAGUCGGUGGAUUGCUUGAGGCUAGGAUUUUGAGACCAGCCUGGGGAAACCGCGUCUCUACUAAAAAUUUGAAAUUAGCCAGGCAUGGUGGUGCGAGCCUGUAAUUCCAGCUACUUGGAGGCUGAGGCGGGAGAAUAGCUUGAACCCAGUGGCGGAGGCUGCAGUGAGCCGAGAUUGCGCCACUGCACUCCAGCCUGGGCGACAGAGCGAGAUUCCGUCUCAAAAAAAUCAUUCCAACGAGUGGAUAAAGAAAAUGUGAUAUAUAUGCACUAUGGAAUACUAAGCCAUAAGAAGGAAUGAAAUAAUGGCAUUUGCAGCAACCUAGAUGGAGUUGGAGACCAUUAUUCUAAGUGAAGUAACUCAAGAAUGGAAAACCAAAUAUUGUAUGUUCUCACUCGUAAGUGGGAGCUAAGCUGCGAAGAUGCAAAGGCAUAAGAAUGAUAUAGUGGACUUUGAGGACUCAAGGGUUGAAGGAUGAGACUACACAUUGGGUACAGUGUGCACUGCUUGGGUGAUGAGUGCACCAAAAUCUCAGAACUCACCACUGAAGAACUUCCCCAUGUAACCAAAAACCACCUGUUCCACAGAAACUAUCGAAAUAACAUUUUUAAAACUUUACUAUUUCUGAAUAAAAUUUACAUACAUUUCUCAGAAAAAAAAAUAUUUGGAAUUGAGGUAUCUAAUAGAGAACUGAGUUAAAUUAUUGCCACUUAAAAACACAAAGUGAUAUAGCCACUUUAUGAAUUAAUCAGUCAGCAGUGGCUAGGUUAUGCUUAGUGGUUUAUAACCAAAUCUUAGUUUAUAACAACAAAUGUGUAUUGUUAAUUCCCACUACAAGUUUAUAACGACAUUGCUGGAUGCUACACUCCAUGUCUCUUUGUGGGACCCAGGCUCAUGGGACUUCUGUUACCUGCAUUAGAGAGAGAGAAGACAACAAAAUAUGCACUGGUUCUUGAAGCUUUGGCCCAGAAGUAAAAUAUGUCUUUUACCUGUUCACAUUGCAUUGGGCCAGGGCAAUUAUCAUGGCUGCAAGUAACUUCAAAAGGAUGGGGAAGUGCGAUCUUGGCAUGUGUCAGAAGAAAUGAAAACAUUUGGUGAAGAGCAUUAAUGACUGUCUUUACAGGAAAAAAGCAAUCAAAUAGACAUGAUUGCUUGUUUCAGUUUCAUCAUUUCCUACUGUGUUACCUAAACUUUCUGAGCCCCAGUUUCUUAUUACUAAAAUAAAAUAAAGAUGAUAUUCACUUC